GUCCUACGGGGGGCUGCAGUGGGGAAUAUUGCACAAUGGGCGAAAGCCUGAUGCAGCGACGCCGCGUGAGGGAUGACGGCCUUCGGGUUGUAAACCUCUUUCAGCAGGGAAGAAGCGAAAGUGACGGUACCUGCAGAAGAAGCGCCGGCUAACUACGUGCCAGCAGCCGCGGUAAUACGUAGGGCGCAAGCGUUGUCCGGAAUUAUUGGGCGUAAAGAGCUCGUAGGCGGCUUGUCACGUCGGAUGUGAAAGCCCGGGGCUUAACCCCGGGUCUGCAUUCGAUACGGGCUAGCUAGAGUGUGGUAGGGGAGAUCGGAAUUCCUGGUGUAGCGGUGAAAUGCGCAGAUAUCAGGAGGAACACCGGUGGCGAAGGCGGAUCUCUGG
rnacentral:rRNA from 1 species